CACUUGCUCCCUGCUCCCUCCCUAUGCACACUUUCACUCAAGGGAGGGGGGAAAGAGAGAGAGAGACAGAGACAGAGAAAAAGGACAAGGAGAGACACAAAGAGGAAAAGGGGACUGUCCAUGACUGGCAUCCCCAGCUCCCCGGCUACGAGGGAGCCAUGGCAACCGGCGUCCAACCCCCUCCCCAGCACCCUCUCGCCCCCCAUGGCUUUCUGUUGAGGUGAGGUGCUGAGCCUCUGUCUUUUCCCUAACCUGGCAGUUCAGGAUCGCUUAUUUCAAGCUGGAGGCUUUUGGCGAACGCCACUGCACCCAAGAAUUAUCUCUAGAGACUAACGCUAGACAGGGACUUUGGGGCUGGGGCUGAGAGAACCUGGACCACCCCCCCAAGACCCAGAAGUGGGCAGUGGAGAGACAUGUAGGACUCGCCGCCGCCGCCUCCCCCCCACUUGCCAGAUGGCUACAAUCUAUAGGAGGACAUGCAUUCUCUACCGAGGUGCACUAAACAAUGAGGACAUUUAUUCCUGGGUGCUACCCUCAGAGUUGGAUGCCACUACAGGGAUCAACAAGAAAUAAGGAGACUCAAGAUUCUGCCUCAGAAACACUUGCAUCAAAUAUCUUGAAAUGAGUAAAUGGGCUUUUCCAUGUUCAUAAUUAAAAACCUUGAGGGAUAAAUGCUGCCA